rnacentral:lncRNA from 1 species
AAUUUGAUAAUGGAGAAGAUUGAAAAGCUUCCAAACUCCACUGAACACAAUGAUCAAGGACACGUAGCUUGGGAAGGUGAUAUAUACUCUCAAGUAAUUGGGGAGGAGAGACAUGGACAGGUGCGUGGAUUAGGACUUGGUCCGACGCCAACUAGCUUAUGGUCUCCCGGUUCCGUAUAUCAAUCAUCUUCAAAGGAUUUUGAGAAAAUAAAAGAACUGGAGAGAGAAAUUAAACUGAUGGAGCAAUAGCGUGUGAAGGAGAUGAAAACUAUGAAAGAAAAUCAAGAUCGUUUAGAGGCUGAAGUUGCAAUGAUGAGGUCGAUCAUAAGUAGACGAUUUCCCGAAGAUUCGGUAUCUUGUUGUUCUCGAUCCCAAGGAAAGGUAAAAGAGUUUUACUAUUUGAAAUUUUUUUGUUCCUUCUUCUUUUUAAUAUUUUUAUAUAUACUUUUAGGUCAUUUUUGAACUAGUAAAUUACUUAUUUGGUAUAGUGUGGUUGGUAAUAUUUGAAGCAAAUUACUUUAAAUCAUUAAUAUUUUCUUGUUAUCAUAACUAAUUUUUUAUUCUCAUAAUGUUCAUGAAAUAGGUUUCUGAUGCUUCUAGUUCUUAUCACGAUAUGGAUGUACAAAUUACUCGUUAAGGUAAUUAUCUUGGAGACUGUCGCUCCUCUUUCACUUCUGUCUUACCGUUAUCUUUUAGUUUGCAUAAGAAAAGAUGAAACUAUUGCACAACUAGAUGGAUUGUUAUCGUCUCUUAGUUGUGGUUUCUGUUAUCGUCUCUUAGCUGCGGUUCCGGUUUGAAAUGUUUAACAUGAACGAGUACAACUUUUCAUUUAACUAAAGCUUUAGAAUGAUUUCUUGUAAUAAAGACAUAUCAAUCUCAUAUUAUCUAAAUAGAUGAGGGUAGGUUUUUUGGGAGUUUUUGUUCUAGGCUAGUUAUACAAGCUUCUUUUUUAAUAUUUUGUCUAUCUGAUGUGCAAACUGAAAGUAAUUUGAGCUUUGAGCUUUCGCUCUAGUAAUAGAACAAGAAAUGUUAAAGAGGGAACUUUGCGGUUUCGAAUUAUUGGAGCUUCUGGUACUAAAGUGAAGUUUG